GUUGCGUCACUCGUUGUUGACU
rnacentral:snRNA from 1 species